rnacentral:rRNA from 1 species
AGCGAACGCUGGCGGCAGGCCUAACACAUGCAAGUCGAACGAACCUUUCGGGGUUAGUGGCGGACGGGUGCGUAACACGUGGGAACGUGCCUUUAGGUUCGGAAUAACUCGGGGAAACUUGUGCUAAUACCGAAUGUGCCCUUCGGGGGAAAGAUUAAUCGCCUUUAGAGCGGCCCGCGUCUGAUUAGCUAGUUGGUUGAGGUAAUGGCUCACCAAGGCGACGAUCAGUAGCUGGUCUGAGAGGAUGAGCAGCCACAUUGGGACUGAGACACGGCCCAAACUCCUACGGGAGGCAGCAGUGGGGAAUCUUGCGCAAUGGGCGAAAGCCUGACGCAGCCAUGCCGCGUGAAUGAUGAAGGUCUUAGGAUUGUAAAAUUCUUUCACCGGGGACGAUAAUGACGGUACCCGGAGAAGAAGCCCCGGCUAACUUCGUG